GCGAGAGUGGCGGAACUGGCAGACGCGCUGGUCUUAGAAGCCAGUGCCCAUAAGGCGUGUGGGUUCAAGUCCCUCCUCUCGCA
rnacentral:tRNA from 1 species